rfam:Triticum aestivum genome assembly, contig: Triticum_aestivum_CS42_TGACv1_scaffold_514159_6BS
UAAAUACUCCCUCCAUCCGAAAAUACUUGUCAUCAAAAUGGUCUAAAACUACAAUACGUCUAGAUACAUUUCCUUUUAUCCAUUUUGAUGACAAGUAUUUACGGACGGAGGGAGUAUUUG